UUUAACGCUCCGUUAAUCUGAAACACAAAAAGCAGCCGAGGGGGGCAAGGGCGACAGUUGAGCUUCCACUCCUUGGAGACCUGGGUGUCUUUGACAGCAGCCCGGAUCAGCGGGAGGACCUUCUGCCGCAGAGCGUCCAGGGCGCGGAACAGCCGGUCAUAAGUGACGUCGAAGGCGCAGUUGGGCUGGACCAGGAUGAGGACAUGGCAGAGGGAGAACAGGAUGUCCUUCUCCUCAAGAGGAAAGGACCUGUGGCCUUGGCGGGGCUGGCUGGAAAAGCAUACUGUUUUAGACCUUGCACAUGUCAUGUUAUGAUUUCAACAAUAAUUUUUACUUUGAAUUUGUUUGAAUUAGAAUUAGAAGCGACUCAUGAAUAAAUUAAGACAUUUUUU